ensembl:snRNA U6 U6 spliceosomal RNA
GCAACAGAGAUUAGCAUGGCCCCUGUGCAAGGAUGACAUACAAAUUCAUGAAGCCUUCCAUAUUGGA